GCCCGGGUGGCUUAGUCGGUUAAGCAUCUGACUUCGGCUCGGUCAUGAUCUCGCGGUUUGUGGGUUCAAGCCCCGCAUCAGGCU
rnacentral:tRNA from 1 species